GCCAGGUGUGGUGGUGCACGCCUGUAAUCCCAGGUACUUGGCAGGCUGAGGUAGGAGGAUCUAAAGUUCUGGACAAAUUAACAAUAAAUAAAUGGAUAGAUAGAUUGGUGAUAUAGUUCAGCGGUAGAGUGCUUGCCUCGU
rnacentral:sRNA from 1 species